rnacentral:snRNA from 1 species
GUGCUUGCUUUGGCAACACAUAUACUAAAAUUUGAAACAUACAGAAAAGAUUGGCAUAGCCCCUCUGCAAGGAUGUCGUGCAAAUUCCUGAAGCAUUCCAUAUUUUA